UACGGAGGGUGCAAGCAUUAAUCGGAUUUAUUGGGCGUAAAGGGCGCGUAGGCGGAAGUAAAAGUCAGAUGUGAAAUCCCGGGGCUCAACCUCGGAACUGCAUUUGAAACUCUAUUUCUAGAGGGUAGGCGGAGAAAACGGAAUUCCACAAGUAGCGGUGAAAUGCGUAGAUAUGUGGAAGAACACCGGUGGCGAAGGCGGUUUUCUAGCUUAUUCCUGACGCUGAGGCGCGAAAGCAAGGGGAUCAAACAGG
rnacentral:rRNA from 1 species